UCAUUAUGUUAUCUAAAUUGUUCUGCUUCCAUGGAUGUAUCUAAAGUGACCAAUGAGUGCAGCUACAGAAGAAGAAAUGAACAUGGUGCCAUUUAACAUGUGUUACAGCAAGUACAAAAAUAAGACAUACACAGAUUCAUACAAUUACAUAAAAUAGAGAAGAGAAAAAAAAUAAACACAGGAUUUACGUAGUUCAGCUGAAAAACCUACGUCCACGAACAAGACACGAGAGAAAAAUUCCACUAUGAUGAAA
rnacentral:lncRNA from 1 species